rnacentral:lncRNA from 1 species
AAUCCCGCCUCCUUGGAGCUUCUGAAUAUAUGCCUGCCAUCAGGGAGGCUAGGGCUAGUUCUUGAAGUAAUUCUCAAUGCCCUGAAAUAAUUGUUGUAGCAACCCCAUCCCUACCUUCCCUGGACCUACUUAAAAAAGGCCUGUGUGCCCUGACAGAAGGCAAAAGUGAGGCUGUGUCUGGCCUACCGCCAUCCAUUCCUGGUGGUUAAAAUGCCAUGUUCAAGUAGAUGUUAUCACCAGAUCAACAUGAAGCUGAAAAGUAGAAGCAGGGUUCUGUACGCAUCUGUCCCCGACGCUUGUCAACAUUUUUAUGAAAGCAGAUAAGCUGAUGUUUGCUUCAUUAAAUAUAUUAAUAUCAUGCUAAUAAUCAGGCUACAUUGGACCAGGAGAAAAGUCUUCAUAGAUACAGAUUCCAAUUUUGUGAGAAGUAUUAUCCAUAUGAAAAGAGAAUAAAUACACAAGUUUAAAUGGGGAAAUAAUCAGAACCAAGAGAAACUUAAUUCAUAUAAGACGGAAUUACUGUAGGCUGAUGGUCCAUCUGCAUUGGGAUGAGAUGUGCAGCCCAUUUCUGAAUGGGGCUACCCUUCAGUUGAAAGGUCAGGCUUAUAGUGUAUGGGUGCCUUUUCAUUUGUUGCUACUUUUUGGAAGAUCAGCAGAUGGUAGUGACUACCUUUUAACAUUCUGUGCCCUUCCUGGAGAAGUCACACGUGUCAUGCUCUAGUCAUCUCAGUUGGUAGAGCAUGAGACUCUUAAUCUCAGGGUUGUGGGUUCUAGCCCCACGUUGGACAAAUGCAGGGGGUUGGACUAGAUGACCCUUGUGGUCCCUUCCAACUCUACAAGUCUAUGAGUUUAUGAUUCUACCUCCAGGCUCAACUACUGUAACACACUGUAUGUGAGGCUGCCCAUGAAUAUCUGGGCACUGGUACCAUGCUACUGACAUAAUUAAUUGGGGCAUAUCAGUACAAUCGUAUUCCAUUUACCGGUACUUGGGUCACCUGUUUGUCUCUAGUAAUAACUGAAGGUGCUGGUUUUAAUCUUAAUAUUGGAGGCCUUGUUCCAGGUGAGCAGCAGGGCAUUUUCAGUUAUGGUACCAACUUUGUGGAAUACCCUCCUCAGAAAGGCCUAUACCUACAGUAUAUGGUUACUAAACUGUUUCAGACAUUGGGCCAAAUCCCAACUGUUUCAAAAAGUCUCUGAGUUAAAUUUAAAACUGUUUGAUUGUUGUUGUUUCAGUUCUGUUGGGUUGUUUGCUUGGAUUAUUAUAUAUGGUUAUAUUUAUGCUGUUUUUUAAUUGCUGCUGUAGCUCUUGCUUUUCCUGUUUUUCCUCUAUAUAUUGUUUCCCUGUUGAUUUAUGUCUUUCAUUGUUCCAGUGAUUCUAUAGCGUUAGCCAUUUUGGGUUGCCUUUUGACAAGAUAAGGCAGGAUAUAAUUUUUUGAAAAAAAAAUAGUAAAGUGGCCAGGCUAUUCAGAAGGACAUGGAGAUUUUAAUGAAGCACAAAUUGAUCACACGUCUUCAACGACUUGCUGUUGUAUUAGGAUAAUUGUAACCUAUCAAAAACAUUUAAUCCGGUACUUUGAAAACAAUAAUACAGAUGUGCUUGUUUCUUUUGCAAUAGGUUGCGGUUUUUAAUAUAAUUCUUAAAAUUACUGAAAAUGCAAGACAUGUUGGAGGAUGCUUGGCCUAAAGAAUAAAGUGUUAAGGCAAUGUGAUUAUGGGAGUUGAAUAAGGAGGUAGAAUACAUGAUAUUUGCUACUGAUGUUGAGAUAAGAGGUGAUGUGAAAGAGAUACAAGCAAGGAUAAAAUUCCUAACUUUUCAGGAACAAAUUCUCUGGCAAACUGCAGAAUUGGCUUCAUUAGAUAUUUUGAAAUGGAAAUGGUUAAGAAACCAUCUGAAAUUAUUUGGUCUAGCAGAUCCUACCUCCUUUCUAGUACAUUUAGUUUUUUUCUGUCCAUUUUUUAUUAAGUGCAGUUUAUUAAGUCCAAAUCCAGACAAACCUGGAUAAGCUUAAGUAUGAUUUCGGGAAAUGAGUCAGGCUUGAAAACCACAAUUUUACAUUGUCU